AGGCUGCUAUAAUGCAGUCGAACGAACUCUGGUAUUGAUUGGUGCUUGCAUCAUGAUUUACAUUUGAGUGAGUGGCGAACUGGUGAGUAACACGUGGGAAACCUGCCCAGAAGCGGGGGAUAACACCUGGAAACAGAUGCUAAUACCGCAUAACAACUUGGACCGCAUGGUCCGAGUUUGAAAGAUGGCUUCGGCUAUCACUUUUGGAUGGUCCCGCGGCGUAUUAGCUAGAUGGUGGGGUAACGGCUCACCAUGGCAAUGAUACGUAGCCGACCUGAGAGGGUAAUCGGCCACAUUGGGACUGAGACACGGCCCAAACUCCUACGGGAGGCAGCAGUAGGGAAUCUUCCACAAUGGACGAAAGUCUGAUGGAGCAACGCCGCGUGAGUGAAGAAGGGUUUCGGCUCGUAAAACUCUGUUGUUAAAGAAGAACAUAUCUGAGAGUAACUGUUCAGGUAUUGACGGUAUUUAACCAGAAAGCCACGGCUAACUACGUGCCAGCAGCCGCGGUAAUACGUAGGUGGCAAGCGUUGUCCGGAUUUAUUGGGCGUAAAGCGAGCGCAGGCGGUUUUUUAAGUCUGAUGUGAAAGCCUUCGGCUCAACCGAAGAAGUGCAUCGGAAACUGGGAAACUUGAGUGCAGAAGAGGACAGUGGAACUCCAUGUGUAGCGGUGAAAUGCGUAGAUAUAUGGAAGAACACCAGUGGCGAAGGCGGCUGUCUGGUCUGUAACUGACGCUGAGGCUCGAAAGUAUGGGUAGCAAACAGGAUUAGAUACCCUGGUAGUCCAUACCGUAAACGAUGAAUGCUAAGUGUUGGAGGGUUUCCGCCCUUCAGUGCUGCAGCU
rnacentral:rRNA from 2 species